rnacentral:lncRNA from 1 species
UCUCGAGUUCGAGUCUCUCUGUCACCACGGUGGUACUGAACCUCUCCAAAUAAAAACUCCUCCAUACGAGUAAGGACAAGCGGUGUAUACUAACCCGUAGGUCCAGGCUGGAGGUGGGGUUUUUCCUGGAUAUGAGGCCGCUUUGCGGUGGGGUCUGUCACUAUAAAAAGUUUACUCUAACAGUUUUUAAACCAAGUGGUCGUGGUUUAGUGGCUUUCACUUGAAGAGGAGUCGCCCUGUUGGUCCAGGCCAGGGAUCGAUUCCCCUCAAGCGCGAAAGUGCUAAUCAUUUCCAUUUGGCCAGGGGCUUUCACCUGGUCUUCCCCGGACCCUGGGGGGAUUAAGGGCUUCGGCCCCGAACCUCCUGGUUAUAAAAAAAAAAAAUUUAGCAAACGAGAUAAAAGAUAGAAAAAUGCAUAUCUAAAUAAUAAAAAAUGAAAAUAAAAAAAUAGAAACUAAUUCCACAAAUAUAGGGCUUAAUUU